rnacentral:rRNA from 1 species
UACGGAGGGUGCAAACGUUGCUCGGAAUCAUUGGGCGUAAAGCGCACGUAGGCGGUUCGGUAAGUCGGAUGUGAAAUCCCUCGGCUUAACCGAGGAAGUGCAUCCGAAACUGCCGAGCUUGAGUACGGAAGAGGGUCUCGGAAUUCCCGGUGUAGAGGUGAAAUUCGUAGAUAUCGGGAGGAACACCAGUGGCGAAGGCGGAGACCUGGGCCGAUACUGACGCUGAGGUGCGAAAGCGUGGGGAGCAAACAGG